UGGAGGUUGUGCCCUUGAGGCGUGGCUUCCGGAGCUAACGCGUUAAGUCGACCGCCUGGGGAGUACGGCCGCAAGGUUAAAACUCAAAUGAAUUGACGGGGGCCCGCACAAGCGGUGGAGCAUGUGGUUUAAUUCGAUGCAACGCGAAGAACCUUACCUGGUCUUGACAUCCACGGAAGUUUUCAGAGAUGAGAAUGUGCCUUCGGGAACCGUGAGACAGGUGCUGCAUGGCUGUCGUCAGCUCGUGUUGUGAAAUGUUGGGUUAAGUCCCGCAACGAGCGCAACCCUUAUCCUUUGUUGCCAGCGGUCCGGCCGGGAACUCAAAGGAGACUGCCAGUGAUAAACUGGAGGAAGGUGGGGAUGACGUCAAGUCAUCAUGGCCCUU
rnacentral:rRNA from 1 species